ensembl:rRNA 5S_rRNA 5S ribosomal RNA
GUCUAUGGCCAUACCACCCUGAACGCGCCCGAUCUCGUCUGAUCUCGGAAUCUAAGCAGGGUCGGCCUGGUUAGUACUUGGAUGGGAGUAAUGAACACUGGAACCCACAACUGAACAGUGUGGCGUUAGAGACU